rnacentral:rRNA from 1 species
UCAAAGAGUGCGUAAUAGCUCACUGGUCGAGUGAUCCUGCGCCGAAGAUUUCCGGGGCUAAAACUUACUACCGAAGCUACGGCAUCAGUAAUGAUGGGUAGGGGAGCUUCCCAUACGGGUUGAAGCAUGACCGUAAGGACAUGUGGACAGUAUGGGAGUGAGAAUGUUGGCAUGAGUAGCGAGAUGUGGGUGAGAAUCCCACAGGCCGUAAACCCAAGGUUUCCAGGGGAAGGUUCGUCCGCCCUGGGUUAGUCGGGACCUAAGCUGAGGCCGAAAGGCGUAGGUGAUGGACAACAGGUUGAUAUUCCUGUACUACCGAUAACCGUUUGAGAGAAGGGAUGACACAGUAGGAUAAGCUAAGCACACUGUUGGUUAUGUGUGCCCAAGCAUUGAGGCAGUCAAAGUAGGCAAAUCCGCUUUGAUAAUGCUGGGAUGUGAUGGGGAGCGAAAUUUAGUAGCGAAGUAGCUGAUUUCACACUGUCAAGAAAAGUCUCUAUCGAGGUUAAAGGUACCCGUACCGCAAACCGACACAGGUGGGUGAGGAGAGUAUCCUAAGGCCAGCGAGAGAACUGUUGUUAAGGAACUCGGCAAAAUGACCCCGUAACUUAGGGAUAAGGGGUGCCACCAUCAGGUGGCCGCAGAGAAUAGGCCCAAGCGACUGUUUACCAAAAACAUAGGUUUCUGCUAAGUCGCAAGACGAUGUAUAGGAGCUGACGCCUGCCCGGUGCUGGAAGGUUAAGGGGAUCUGUUAGAGCAAUCGAAGCAGUGAACUUAAGCCCCAGUAAACGGCGGCCGUAACUAUAACGGUCCUAAGGUAGCGAAAUUCCUUGUCGGGUAAGUUCCGACCCGCACGAAAGGCGUAACGAUUUGGGCACUGUCUCAACAACAGACUCGGUGAAAUUGUAAUUCCGGUGAAGAUGCCGGAUACCUGCGACAGGACGGAAAGACCCCAUGGAGCUUUACUGUAGCUUGACAUUGGGUCUUGGUACUACAUGUACAGGAUAGGU